UGGCAGUUAAUUUGCAUAUCUCGCUGAUUUGCCAAUGGGAAGGGCAGCAAAGUUACGGCUAAUUACCAUGUUUCUCUUUUAUUAGAUAGGAUAGAUGGAGGAUUGUCCUUACAUCCCUGCUGAAACAUUCCAUUGUUAAAAUGUGCACUUUUCUAGGCCUGACCCUCCAGGUGUCAGCGGACUGUGCUACUGUAUGUUUUAUGAGCGUUAGUUAGGUUCAGACAAGGCCCACAGGAAAAGACUUCCCAUGCAUUUGCAGAUCUCAGCCAAGUUCUGGGUACAUUCUUUCUUACAUCCACUCACAUUGUAUUGCCAUCACUUUUCCACCAUUCUUCAACUACUAUUCACAUUCAUUUAUGAUUUCUGUAAACAUUUUUUUAAAAAAGUUGGGAUGUCAGUUAACAUUUUCUAAGUUGAGUCAGGGAAGCAAGCCAUGCUCAAUAUUUAACAAUCGCUUGUAUGUGUGUGUGUAAGAGUGUGUUUUAUUUGUCAUGUAUUGGUAUAAACAGAUACAGAAGAAACUUACAAACAGAAUUGAAAAUAAUGUACCCAUAGUGUUCAAAUUUGUACCUGUCUCACAGAUUUUGUGGUGUUGGCCAAUCAUGGUAAUUUACAUUAUAAUUCCUGCUGUUCAAGAAAAGCACACUUUUUUCCUAAAAUGUUUUUCCCUGUGUAUCCUAUUAUGGACACUCGUUUUGUUAAUAUUUUUUCUUUUUUCUUUUUUAGAAUAUAGCAGUAAUGCUAUUACCAAAAUAAAUGAUUUUUUUUCCUGAAAUGUAAUCAUUGAUGCCUGAAUGAUAGAAUUUUAGUACUAUAAACAGGCUUUAGUAAUUUACAUGAGAAGAAACACUUAGAAUGGACUACUAAGUGUGCCUAAAUGAAUUUUGCAGUAACUGGUAUUGUUGCUUUUGUCCUACUUAAUGCACAUUAAUUCAGAACUUGUAUUCUGUUAAUGAGUGUGAUAGUCUGUUGGAGUGACCAGCAACCUUGAUGUUUGCACUAAGAUUUUAUUUGGUAUUGAAAGCAGUUCAGUAGUACAUCUAUAACUAAUUUAUUUGAAAUAUAGUUAAAGAAAUCUUCCAGUUUCCUCAGAUGCCUUUUUAAAACUCACCACAGAUGAUUAGUGAAAAUAGAUGGCUGAGCAGGCAUGGAAGUAGGUGCUGUGUAUGUCUGGGUAACAUCUGACCACCCACUGCUGAGGCAGUUUUCAGAAAGCCUGUAAUUGAUCAAACGGUUCAGGUUCCUGAGGAGGCCUGUCACAUCGAUGAGAUGCUGUGUAUGGAUGAGAGCAACCUGAGAGACUGGACUAGAAAAAGUCAUCGUCAAUAGCAGCAAAGCUACACUUGAACUACUUGGGAGCUAUGACCCCCAGAAGCAGCUCAUUAUUGAAGACCUGUUAUGGGGAUGAGUGCGGGGAUGAGUGCGGGGAUGAGUGUGACGCUGAGGCCGGGCCCGGCAGUGUCUGAGGGGCUGCAGGGAGAAGGCUCACCAGCCAGCCGCCCCAGCCCAGGGUCACCUCCGUCGCUCAAGGCCAGUGCUGGUACUUGCGUCCAACUGCUGUUUCUUACCUUAGAAAUAAUUGUGGAUGGAAAUCCGUGGUUGUGUUUGGCAAAAAAAUAAAUAUCUGACUCGACAGUUUAUGGGGCACAUGAAGUGUUCUUACGCCAGUGAGGCCUCUUGCUUUGCUGCAGUUACAGACGAAAUCGUAGAACAACCAAGUAGAACCUAAUCCCUCUGUCAGCAUGGGAGCCUCUUACGUCACCUGCCCUCCCUCUUCCCCGAGUCUGGGAGAGUGAGGACGAGCUCCCUGCCCCGGCCUCCCUGCUCCAGGUGACAGAGGCCCUCCCGCGGGGCUCACAGCCCAGGAGUGUGUCCAUUCACACCGUGUUUUUGUAGGAAAGAGAAAGGCUGAUGGAAUAACAAUCCUUCCUAGUUUGUGUCUAGCUUGUAGCAUAAGGGAGUCAGCUUAUGUGUUCUAUUUGAGCCACAAUUAUAUCCAGAAAGAAGGACUCAUUAGCUGCUUUAUCUGUGGUUGAUAAGAGUUGGAAAAUUUUUAUGUUGAAAUGCUUAAAUAUUGAUGUGGUGAUACGUAUUCUUCAGUGCUUAAUUUAUCGGUAAUUUCUGUGUUCUUUCAGAUAACUAAUCUAAAAUUCAUAUGGCUACAUGUCAGAGAAGAUGUCAAAAUAAACUGGGGAAAUUGUUAAAAAGAAGCACAAGUUGGGCCUGGCCCGGUGGCUCAGUUGUUUGAGUAUCGUUCACUACACCAGGUUGUGGGUUUGAUCCCUGGAGGGGGCAUGAACGGG